CAAAGUGCAACUCUGCCAGUCGUUCUGCUUGCGCCUCCUCACCGCCAAAAGCAACUCUCUCUUGCACCUUUCUUUAUCAUUCGAAAAUGGCAAUGAAACUGCCUAACCGCCAGAGAUUACUUAUUGCAGUCCGAUUCUCCCCAGAACAGCCCUUGAAGGGGCCGAAAGGCGAUGAUUGCUCUCUCUUUAUCUCAUGAUGUCAGUGCGCUCAGAAGCUGUGACUCUGCAACACCUUUGUCGGGCGAAGCGUCUCAUCCGAAUAGGAAAAGGAAGGAGCAGAAAGGAGGGAAAAAAAAUGUUUCCGGAGAGGUUGGAGAACGCCCUCAACGAUAAUAAUUUUUUAGAAUUACUGGAAUAUCAGUUUGUUGGUCUUAAAACUAAAUUGCAUUUCAUGGACGGUUUGGUAAGUGUUCUUAAAUUUAAUCUCAUGCUUUCCCCUUAUUUUACUUAUUAUAUUACAUUUCAA